rnacentral:rRNA from 1 species
UACGGAGGAUGCGAGCGUUGUCCGGAAUUACUAGGCGUAAAGGGCAGGCAGGCGGAUCCAUAAGUUUAUCGUUUAAGGCGUCGGCUUAACCGGCGUAGGGCGGUAGAUACUGUGGAUCUGGAAUGCGGUUGGGGAAGACAGAAUUCCUGGUGUAGCGGUGGAAUGCGCAGAGAUCAGGAGGAAUACCGAAGGCGAAGGCAGUCUUCCAAGCCGUUAUUGACGCUCAACUGCGAAGGUGUGGGUAUCAAACAGGAUUAGAUACCCUGGUAGUCCCU